rnacentral:lncRNA from 1 species
AGGUACAGCUUACUGAGGAUAUGACCGUUGAUAGGAAAGUUUGGAGAACUCGGAUUAGGGUUGAAGGUUAGUGCAUGGAGGUGAGUCGUACCAAGUAGUUAAGUGCGCUUUAGGGUAGCUUGAUAGUGGUUGUAUGUCUUUGCUUAUGGAAUGGAGUCUCUAGGUAUGUGGGUUGGUUAGUGUAUCGUACUACUUUGUGGGUGCCUUAUUUCUUAUUUCUGUUAUUUCACCUUGGGCAGAAAUGCGGAUGUUGCGCUGGAUGUGUGGACUGACCCGAAGGGAUAGAGCUCGGAAUGAGACUAUCCGGGAGAAGGUUGGGGUGACUUCAGUGGAGUGUAAGAUGCGGGAAGCACGAUUGAGAUGGUUCGGACACGUGAAGAGGAGGGGCAUGGAUGCCCCGGUCCGUAGGUGUGAGAGGCUAGCGUUGGAUGGUUUUAGACGGGGUAGGGGUAGACCGAAGAAGUACUGGGGUGAGGUGAUUAGGCGGGACAUGGAACAGUUACAGCUUACCGAGGACAUGACCCUAGAUAGGAAGGUCUGGAAGACGCGAAUUACGGCAGAGGAUUAGGGCCUGUUCGGGUCGCUAAUGUAGGGAGGUAAUUGGUGGGGGUGUAUUCCUGGUAUGAUUCCGUAUUCAAUGUUCUGUUCCGUGUUCCGUGUUCUAUGUUUGUUACGAAUCUGUGUGCUUUCCUCUGCUUUAUAUUCCUGCAUCCCUGCUUUACUCUGUUUUAUAUUCCUUAUGGCUGCAGUAUCUAUGUUAUGUCAUCUGCUUCUGUGCUGUACUAUGUGUUUGUUUGAUAUCUCGUAACUUGAGCCGGGGGUCUUUCGGAAACAGCCUUUCUACUUCAUCAGAGGUAGAGGUAUGGACUGCGUACAUCUUACCCCCCCCAGACCCCACAAAGUGGGAAUACACUGGGUUUGUUGUUGUUGUUGUUGUUGUUGUUAUUUCACCUUGUUUCAUGUUUCUUGUUGCAUGUUCCAUGUUUCAUGUUUCAUGUUUUA